rnacentral:RNase_P_RNA from 1 species
GAGCCGACGGAAAGUGCAACAGAAAGUAUACCGCCUAAGCGCUUUCGGGCGCCGGUAAGGGUGAAAUGGUGCGGUAAGAGCGCACCGCGUGGCUGGCAACAGUCCACGGCGAUGGUAAACCCCACCUGGAGCAAGACCAAAUAGGAGUCCUAUGGCGUGGCCCGCGCUGGACUCGGGUAGGUCGCUUGAGGCCUGUGGUGACGCAGGCCCUAGAUGAAUGACUGUCCCAGACAGAACCCGGCUUAUCGGCGGGCUCACGAU